UGGCAAGCCACAGAUGCAGAGCAUGAAUUU
rnacentral:piRNA from 1 species